rnacentral:rRNA from 1 species
CGGAAUUAUUGGGCGUAAAGCGCGUGUAGGCGGCUUUGCAAGUCGGGUGUGAAAGCCCUCAGCUCAACUGAGGAAGUGCGCCCGAAACUGCAGAGCUUGAGUACCGGAGAGGAUGGCGGAAUUCCCCAAGUAGAGGUGAAAUUCGUAGAUAUGGGGAGGAACACCGGUGGCGAAGGCGGCCAUCUGGACGGAUACUGACGCUGAGACGCGAAAGCGUGGGGAGCAAACAGG